GAUGAACGCUGGCGGCGUGCCUAAUACAUGCAAGUCGAGCGAAUGGAUUAAGAGCUUGCUCUUAUGAAGUUAGCGGCGGACGGGUGAGUAACACGUGGGUAACCUGCCCAUAAGACUGGGAUAACUCCGGGAAACCGGGGCUAAUACCGGAUACCAUUUUGAACCGCAUGGUUCGAAAUUGAAAGGCGGCUUCGGCUGUCACUUAUGGAUGGACCCGCGUCGCAUUAGCUAGUUGGUGAGGUAACGGCUCACCAAGGCAACGAUGCGUAGCCGACCUGAGAGGGUGACCGGCCACACUGGGACUGAGACACGGCCCAGACUCCUACGGGAGGCAGCAGUAGGGAAUCUUCCGCAAUGGACGAAAGUCUGACGGAGCAACGCCGCGUGAGUGAUGAAGGCUUUCGGGUCGUAAAACUCUGUUGUUAGGGAAGAACAAGUGCUAGUUGAUUAAGCUGGCACCUUGACGGUACCUAACCAGAAAGCCACGGCUAACUACGUGCCAGCAGCCGCGGUAA
rnacentral:rRNA from 1 species